GACGUAGGGCGCGAGCGUUGUCCGGAUUAUUGGGCGUAAAGAGCUCGUAGGCGGCUUGUCGCGUCGUCCGUGAAAACCUGCAGCUCAACUGCAGGCUUGCGGUCGAUACGGGCAGGCUAGAGUUCGGUAGGGGAGACUGGAAUUCCUGGUGUAGCGGUGAAAUGCGCAGAUAUCAGGAGGAACACCGGUGGCGAAGGCGGGUCUCUGGACAGUUCCUGACACUGAGACACGAAGGCCAGGGGAGCAAACGGG
rnacentral:rRNA from 1 species